GCGUUGGAGCAAUAAUUCAAUUCAACUGGGAAAGAUAGACUCUUUCUUUGUAGCUUCAUCCACUUGUCUUUGAAGGAAUUUCCUACUUGCUUUUUUUUGAUUUGCACCGGGUGUCCGAGUCUCUUCGAGCCCCGACUAAUUCCGGGGGUGCACAGGCCCUCGGCAAGGAGUUUCCCGCAAGUGCACCACCGUUAAUUCAGGUUUUAUCCAGUCCGAUGGCCCUCAGAAAUUGUUUGCACCCAAUGAGUUUCAAAUUUGAGACCUUGAAAAGGAGCAAAUCCCAAGGUUCAAGUCAAUUGUAAGGCCAACCCCUGAGGGCUCAAGUCCUACAUCCUUCUAUUAAAGUUCAAAGAAAACUCAGUACCAAUAAUUUCUUCUAUAGCAUUAUUUCUUAUUUCUUCUAACCUAUAUAUAACUUUGUUUGAAAAUAUUAUCUAUUGUUCUCUUACUAUAAUCACAAUCGCAUACAGUUUUCUUACUCUUUUCAGAGACUUAACACUGAGUCCAUGGCAUCUUCUUCUUCUUCAAGAUGGAGCUAUGAUGUUUUCCUAAGUUUUAGAGGUGAAGAUACUCGGAAAACAUUUACAAGUCACUUAUACGAAGUCUUGAAUGAUAGGGGAAUAAAAACCUUUCAAGAUGAUAAAAGGCUAGAGUACGGUGCAACCAUCCCAGAAGAACUCUGUAAAGCUAUAGAAGAGUCUCAAUUUGCUAUCGUCAUUUUCUCAAAGAAUUAUGCAACAUCGAGGUGGUGUUUGAAUGAACUAGUGGAGAUCAUGGAAUGCAAGACUCAAUUUAGACAAACUGUUAUACCGAUAUUCUAUGAUGUGGAUCCAUCACAUAUUCGGAACCAAAAGGAGAGCUUUGCAAAAGCCUUUGAAGAACAUGAAACAAAGUAUAAGGAUGAUGUUGAGGGAAUAAAAAGAUGGAGGAUUGCUUUAACUGCAGCGGCCAAUCUCAAAGGCUCAUGUGAUAAUCGUGACAAGACUGAUGCAGACUGUAUUCGGCAAAUUGUUGACCAAAUCUCAUCCAAAUUAUGCAAGAUUUCUUUAUCUUAUCUGCAAAACAUUGUUGGAAUAAAUACUCAUUUAGAGGAAAUAGAAUCCUUACUAGAGAUAGGAAUCAAUGAUGUUCGGAUUGUGGGAAUCUGGGGAAUGGGUGGAGUCGGUAAAACGACAAUAGCAAGAGCGAUGUUUGAUACUCUCUUAGUAAGAAGGGAUAGUUCCUAUCAAUUUGAUGGUGCUUGUUUCCUUGAGGAUAUUAAAGAAAACAAAGGUAGAAUACAUUCUCUGCAAAAUACCCUUCUCUCUAAACUGUUAAGGAAAAAAGCUGAGUACAAUAAUAAGGAGGACGGAAAGCACCAAAUGGCUAGUAGACUAUGUUCUAAGAAGGUCCUAAUUGUGCUUGAUGACAUAGAUGAUAAAGAUCAUUAUUUGGAGUAUUUAGCAGGUGAUCUUGGUUGGUUUGGUAAGGGUAGUAGGAUUGUUGUAACAACUAGAAACAAGCAUUUGAUAGGGAAGAAUGAUGUAAUUUAUGAAGUGACUAGACUAGCUGACCAGGAAGCUAUGCAAUUGUUCAGUCAACAUGCUUUCAGAAAAGAAGAUCUAGAUGAGUGUUUUAAGGAGCUCUCAUUGGAGGUCGUAAAUUAUGCUAAAGGCCUUCCUUUAGCCCUCAAAGUGUGGGGUUCUUUGUUGCAUAAUCUAGGCUUAACUGAAUGGAAAAGUGCUAUAGAGCACAUGAAAAUUAAUUCUAAUUCGAAAAUUGUUGAAAAGCUCAAAAUAAGUUACGAUGGAUUGGAGCCCAUCCAACAAAAGAUGUUUCUAGAUAUAGCAUGCUUCUUUCGAGGGAGAUCUAAAGGUUACGCCAUGCAAAUUCUUGAGAGUUGUCAUUCUGGAAUUGAAUACGGAUUGCGUGUCUUAAUUGACAAAUCUCUUGUGUCCAUCUCUGAGAAAGGUGAGAUUCAAAUGCAUGACUUUAUAGAAGAUAUGGGUAAAUAUAUAGUAAAUUUUCAAAAAGAUCCCGGAGAACGCAGCAGACUAUGGCUCGUCGAGGAUUUCGAAGAAGUGAUGAUCAACAAUACAGGGACCAUGGCAAUGGAAGCAAUCUGGGUUUCUUCUUAUUCUUGUACAGUACGCUUUAGCAAUGAGGCCAUGAAAAAUAUGAAAAGGCUGAGGAUAUUUAACAUAGAGAGGUCGUCGACCCGUGAUGCCAUUGAGUAUUUGCCCAAUAGCUUGCGUUGUUUUGUCUGGUCUUACUAUCCUUGGAAGUCACUGCCAGAAAAUUUUGAACCCAAAAUGCUUGUUCACCUUGAACUCUGGAGCAGUUCACUGCGUUAUUUAUGGAUGGAAACAAAGCAUUUCCGGUCUCUACGGAGGAUAGAUCUCAGCUUCUCCGAAAGCCUGAUGCGAACACCAAAUUUCACGGGGAUGCCAAAUUUGGAAUAUUUGAAUCUGAAAAAAUGUAGUAAUCUUGAAGAGGUUCACCAUUCCCUGGGAUGUUGCAGCAAACUCAUUCGGUUAAAUUUGAUGUAUUGUGAAAACCUUAAGAGAUUUCCAUGUAUUAACAUGGAAUCUCUUAAAUAUCUGAGUGUAAGAGAGUGCUCUCGGUUAGAGAAAUUUCCAGAAUUCCUCGGAAGAAUAAAGCCGGAGUUGGAGAUUGGCAUAAGGGAACUACCAUCCUCUUAUUUUCAGUACCAAACUCAUAUUACCGAGCUAGAUUUGAGCUAUAUGAAAAAUCUUGUAGCUCUUCCAAGCAGCAUCGGUAGGUUGAAAAGUUUGGUUAAUCUAAAUGUGUCUCAUUGCUCAAAACUUGAAAGCUUGCCAGAAGAGAUAGGGGGUUUAGAAAACUUGGAGGAGCUUGAUGCUAGAGGUACUCUAAUUUCACGACCUCCGUCUACCAUUGUAUGCUUGAACAAACUUAAAAUCUUGAAGUUUGGAGAGAGAGAUGGAGUGCACUUUGAGUUCCCUCCAGUAGUGGCUGAAGGAUUACAGUCAUUGGUACAUCUGAAUCUCAGUGACUGCAAUCUAAUAGAUGGAGGACUUCCGGAAGACAUUGGAUCCUUAUCGUCUUUGAAAGAAUUGUAUCUCAAUGGAAAUAAUUUUGAGCAUUUGCCUCGAAGCAUAGCCCAACUUGGUGCUCUUCGAAUCUUGCACUUAAGAGAUUGCAAGAGGCUUACACAGCUGCCAGAACUUCCACCAAAAUUAAAUGAAUUGCAUGUAGAUUGUCAUACGGCUAUGAAAAGUAUCAAUGAUUUUGUAACAAAGAGAAAGAAACUACAGUGCGUGAUAUUCGAGUCAUUUGAUUAUGAGGAUGAUGCACACAAUGAUUAUAUAUAUAAUUUGUUUGCGCAUGCCCUGUUUCAGAAAAUCUCUUCCUUGAGGCAUGACAUCUCUGCUUCAGAUUCCUUGUCCGAAAAUGUGUUUACCAUUGUGCAUCCAAAGAAGAAGAUCCCGAGUUGGUUCCACCAUCAGGGUUGGGAUAGUAGUGUAUCAGUCAAUUUGCCUGAAAAUUGGUAUAUACCUGAUAAAUUCUUGGGAUUUGCUGUAUGUUACAAUGGCAGCUUAAUUGACACCACAGCUCAAUUGAUUCCCGUAUGUGAUGACGGGAUGACGUGCAUCACCCAGAAACUUGCCUUAUCCAACCAUUCAGAAUGUGAUACAGAAUCAUCCGACAGUUCAAAAAGGGAUACAGAAUUUGCUAUUCAUUUUUUGUUGGUACCUCUUACUGUCUUAUGGGAUACAUCUGAGGCAAAUGGAAAAACACCAAAUGACUAUGGGAUUAUUAGGCUAUCUUUUACUGGAGAAAUGAAUAAGUAUGGACUUCGUUUGUUGUAUAAAGAAGAACCUGAGGAUGAGGCCUUGUUACAAAUGUAUGAACCAACAGAACAUUCCACUGGGAUAAGGAGGACCCGAUAUAACAAUAGUGAACACCGUGACUCUGUGACCGAUGAAUCCAGUUGCUGCUGUCGCAUACUCUAGUAACAUUGGAAACAAAGGUCACAUUCUAAUGAAAGUAACUUGCAAGUUUGGAAGCCCUUUGCCCUAAAGCCGGUGGCAUUGCCUAUGAAGAGCAUAUGUUUCCUUUGUUUGUAGCAGAACAACUAGACUCUUGGCCUGAGAAAGAGAUUCGCAAGAGAACUUGGGUAAAAACCAAUUGCAGAUGAAUGUUCGCGAAGCAAGAAAGCUGUGCCAAAAUGGAUGGAUGAAAGAAGCCUUGGAACUGUUCUUCCUUUGGGAUGUAUUCUCUCCAUCAGAAACUGAUGUUCACCUUUUCACUUGCAAAAUAAUUGUCAUUUUGGAAAAACCAGAAGUUUCUUACACACAACAUAACUUUAAAUAUUUCUUGUCGUAAUGAUCGUGCUCUCACAUUAGCAAUACACUUCUGCAGGGCCAUUUUCAUACCUGUUAAAUGUGGAGGUUCAGUUUAGUAUAUAUAGAGGGAGUAAAACUACAUCUUAAAUAUUGUGUUUUCUUUCUUCAUGAAAAGUUCCUGAAAAGGAAAAAUCUGUUUCAUUUGGAACUUCAAUCCCAGAACUUUAAUCAUACUUUAUAUACCAUGCAAAGAGCAGAAAUCAGAAAUUUCAGAUCUUGAAUGUUAGCUUUC